rnacentral:rRNA from 1 species
AGUGAACGCUGGCGGUAGGCCUAACACAUGCAAGUCGAACGGCAGCACAGUAAGAGCUUGCUCUUACGGGUGGCGAGUGGCGGACGGGUGAGGAAUACAUCGGAUUCUACUUUUUCGUGGGGGAUAACGUAGGGAAACUUACGCUAAUACCGCAUACGACCUACGGGUGAAAGCAGGGGAGCUUCGGACCUUUCGCGAUUGAAUGAGCUGAUGUCGGAUUAGCUAGUUGGCGGGGUAAAGGCCCACCAAGGCGACGAUCCGUAGCUGGUCUGAGAGGAUGAUCAGCCACACUGGAACUGAGACACGGUCCAGACUCCUACGGGAGGCAGCAGUGGGGAAUAUUGGACAAUGGGCGAAAGCCUGAUCCAGCCAUACCGCGUGGGUGAAGAAGGCCUUCGGGUUGUAAAGCCCUUUUGUUGGGAAAGAAAAGCAGCAGGUUAAUACCCCGCUGUUCUGACGGUACCCAAAGAAUAAGCACCGGCUAACUUCGUG